rnacentral:rRNA from 1 species
UACGUAGGCAGCAAGCGUUGUUCGGAGUUACUGGGCGUAAAGGGUGUGUAGGCGGCCCCCUAAGUUUGGUGUGAAAUCUCCCGGCUUAACCGGGAGGGUGCGCCGAAGACUGGAGGGCUAGAGUGCGGGAUGGGAGAGUGGAAUUCCUGGUGUAGCGGUGAAAUGCGUAGAUAUCAGGAGGAACACCUGUGGUGUAGACGGCUCUCUGGACCGCAACUGACGCUGAAACACGAAAGCGUGGGUAGCAAACAGG